rnacentral:rRNA from 1 species
GACUAAUACCCAAUGACGUCUCUAGAAGACAUCUGAAGGAGAUUAAAGAUUUAUCGGUGAUGGAUGGGGAGGCGUCUGAUUAGCUUGUUGGCGGGGUAACGGCCCACCAAGGCGACGAUCAGUAGGGGUUCUGAGAGGAAGGUCCCCCACAUUGGAACUGAGACACGGUCCAAACUCCUACGGGAGGCAGCAGUGAGGAAUAUUGGUCAAUGGGCGAGAGCCUGAACCAGCCAAGUAGCGUGCAGGAUGACGGCCCUAUGGGUUGUAAACUGCUUUUAUAAGGGAAUAAAGUGAGUCUCGUGAGGCUUUUUGCAUGUACCUUAUGAAUAAGGACCGGCUAAUUCCGUGCCAGCAGCCGCGGUAAUACGGAAGGUCCGGGCGUUAUCCGGAUUUAUUGGGUUUAAAGGGAGCGUAGGCCGGAGAUUAAGCGUGUUGUGAAAUGUAGAUGCUCAACAUCUGCACUGCAGCGCGAACUGGUUUCCUUGAGUACGCACAAAGUGGGCGGAAUUCGUGGUGUAGCGGUGAAAUGCUUAGAUAUCACGAAGAACUCCGAUUGCGAAGGCAGCUCACUGGAGCGCAACUGACGCUGAAGCUCGAAAGUGCGGGUAUCGAACAGGAUUAGAUACCCUGGUAGUCCGCACGGUAAACGAUGGAUGCCCGCUGUUGGUCUGAAUAGGUCAGCGGCCAAGCGAAAGCAUUAAGCAUCCCACCUGGGGAGUAC